rnacentral:lncRNA from 1 species
AUGUUGCACCAUCUGCUCUGCUGUGUGACACACCAGACAAGAUGGGAACCAUCAGCACCAGUCCAUGCUGGAUCCAGGCAUUGCCACAUACAAUACAGACUGCCUCUGGAGAGGGGAAGAAGUCUGAAGACUCAAAAGACUAGUGAGAGAGUAAUCAUUGGUUCACACUGUUUCCCUUCCAGCAACUUGCUAUGGCAGUUCCAAGGAGUUCCAGCAUCAAGUCUAUGA